AUAUGAUAAACGUCGUGGGCUUGAAAAUGUCUUGGGCUUAUUGAAUCUAAUAAACUCAGGGAGUCUUUUGUUAGGUUUCUUCUUGUCGUCGCAAAUCCCAAAUCGUAACCCCCGUCGUAUCGUCUUACAUCAGAUGUUUUCCCUCCCUUGGAUCUCACACAGCAGCAUCGAGCGCAAGAGUUGAUGGCAAGAGAUCUGCACAAUAACGAAUGGAAGUUCAAACAUAUUUUUUGAGGUUAUCUUUCAGUUUCCUAUUGGUGUAUGGCUCAACACUUUCAACCACUUGCUGAGGAAAGGGGCCAUCUAGGAGUCAAGCGAAUUAUUGAUGUCAAGUCAGAAGAAGUAACAGCCACUUCAAAUUCACCACAUUUGCAUCUCCAUUCGGUUGAACGACCUGACCAAAUUAUAGGAUUCCACGGAGACGACUACCAUGAUUCGUACUGAGAAGUUCAGGUUCCGGAGAUAUGAAUAGAUCAUGGGUUUAGCCAAUACAAACAUAGAUCUGCUAGACCACCUUUAACGCUGAAAAUCAAACCAUCCAGCGUAUAAUGCUUACAAUACAAGUUGGUCGUGGGACAAUGAUAUGUGUUAGUGUCUUUGAUAAGAUUGCAAAUAAUCUCCACCAGAAGUUAGAGCUUGCGGGAUUGGAGCCUAAAGUCAUGGUUGCCACCAACAUUAAACCAAAAGUGGCUGGAGGGUGCCUUUUUCUCAAUGCAAUCUUGGUACACAAUUUUAUUUUGAUAAGGAAUGCCUAUCCACCGAGAGUAUGCUAGCAGCGUAAGAUAUUUGAAACUCAAACUGUUGUUAAAUCGAUCAUUAAAUCUGGUGCUAAAAAAACUGUUCGUAGGCAGCCUGGAUCUCAGGCUGCUAGCACCUCCACUUCUACCAAGUACGGAAGUGUGAAGAAAAACGAAAUUGUUACUUUUACUGAAUUUAACACUUACAUUCUUGACUCUCCAUUACAGGUUGGUCCACUCCGUUUAUAGUAUAUAGCUAUUUGAUUGGUUUGUAAAGACUUCAAACUCCUAACUAGCAUCCACGUGUUGCCCCUGUAGAAAAUUUGGUUUUAAGUUCAGACUCAAUUAUAAGUUCAGUACAAUUUGAAAUGUAUUUUCUUAGUAAAA